rnacentral:rRNA from 1 species
AUUGAACGCUGGUGGCAUGCCUUACACAUGCAAGUCGAACGGUAACAGGUCUUCGGAUGCUGACGAGUGGCGAACGGGUGAGUAAUACAUCGGAACGUGCCCGAUCGUGGGGGAUAACGAAGCGAAAGCUUUGCUAAUACCGCAUAAGAUCUACGGAUGAAAGCAGGGGACCGCAAGGCCUUGCGCGAACGGAGCGGCCGAUGGCAGAUUAGGUAGUUGGUGGGAUAAAAGCUUACCAAGCCGACGAUCUGUAGCUGGUCUGAGAGGACGACCAGCCACACUGGGACUGAGACACGGCCCAGACUCCUACGGGAGGCAGCAGUGGGGAAUUUUGGACAAUGGGCGAAAGCCUGAUCCAGCCAUGCCGCGUGCAGGAUGAAGGCCUUCGGGUUGUAAACUGCUUUUGUACGGAACGAAAAGACUCUGGUUAAUACCUGGGGUCCAUGACGGUACCGUAAGAAUAAGCACCGGCUAACUACGUG